CACGUAGGCGGCUUCUUAAGUCAGGGGUGAAAUCCUGGAGCUCAACUCCAGAACUGCCCUUGAUACUGAGAAGCUUGAGUCCGGGAGAGGUGAGUGGAACUGCGAGUGUAGAGGUGAAAUUCGUAGAUAUUCGCAAGAACACCAGUGGCGAAGGCGGCUCACUGGCCCGGUACUGACGCUGAGGCGCGAAGCGUGGGAGCAAACA
rnacentral:rRNA from 1 species